AUUGAACGCUGGCGGAAUGCUUUACACAUGCAAGUCGAACGGCAGCACGGACUUCGGUCUGGUGGCGAGUGGCGAACGGGUGAGUAAUAUAUCGGAACGUAUCCAAUAAUGGGGGAUAACUAAUCGAAAGGUUGGCUAAUACCGCAUACGUCCUACGGGAGAAAGCUAGGGACCUUCGGGCCUGGCGUUAAUGGAGCGGCCGAUAUCGGAUUAGCUAGUUGGUGAGGUAAAGGCUCACCAAGGCGACGAUCCGUAGCUGGUCUGAGAGGACGACCAGCGACACUGGAACGGAGACACGGUCCGGACUCCUACGGGAGGCAGGAGUGGGGAAUUUUGGACAAUGGGCUAAAGCCUGAUCCAGACAUUCCGCGUGAGUGAAGAAGGCCUUCGGGUUGUAAAGCUCUUUCGCAAGAGAAGAAAACUUACCCUCUAACAUAGGGUGAGGUUGACGGUAUCUUGAUAAGAAGCACCGGCUAACUACGUGCCAGCAGCCGCGGUAA
rnacentral:rRNA from 1 species